rnacentral:rRNA from 1 species
GAUGAACGCUGGCGGCGUGCCUAAUACAUGCAGGUCGAGCGAACGGACGAGAAGCUUGCUUCUCUGAUGUUAGCGGCGGACGGGUGAGUAACACGUGGAUAACCUACCUAUAAGACUGGGAUAACUUCGGGAAACCGGAGCUAAUACCGGAUAAUAUUUUGAACCGCAUGGUUCAAAAGUGAAAGACGGUCUUGCUGUCACUUAUAGAUGGAUCCGCGCUGCAUUAGCUAGUUGGUAAGGUAACGGCUUACCAAGGCAACGAUGCAUAGCCGACCUGAGAGGGUGAUCGGCCACACUGGAACUGAGACACGGUCCAGACUCCUACGGGAGGCAGCAGUAGGGAAUCUUCCGCAAUGGGCGAAAGCCUGACGGAGCAACGCCGCGUGAGUGACGAAGGUCUUCGGAUCGUAAAACUCUGUUAUUAGGGAAGAACAUAUGUGUAAGUAACUGUGCACAUCUUGACGGUACCUAAUCAGAAAGCCACGGCUAACUACGUG